GGGAAUGUGGCUUAGUGGUAAAGUGCUUGCCUAGCAUGCAUAAAGUCCUGGGUUCAAUUCCUCAGUACCA
rnacentral:tRNA from 1 species